rnacentral:rRNA from 1 species
GACGAACGCUGGCGGCGUGCCUAAUACAUGCAAGUCGAGCGAUGAAGCUUGGUGCUUGCACCUAUUUGAAGAGCAGCGAACGGGUGAGUAACGCGUGGGUAAUCUGCCUUUGAGCGGGGGACAACAUUUGGAAACGAAUGCUAAUACCGCAUAACAACUUUAAACAUAAGUUUUAAGUUUGAAAGAUGCAAUUGCAUCACUCAAAGAUGAUCCCGCGUUGUAUUAGCUAGUUGGUGAGGUAAAGGCUCACCAAGGCGAUGAUACAUAGCCGAACUGAGAGGGUGAACGGCCACAUUGGGACUGAGACACGGCCCAAACUCCUACGGGAGGCAGCAGUAGGGGAACUUCGGCAAUGGACGAAAGUCUGACCGAGCAACGGCGCGUGAGUGAAGAAGGUUUUCGGAACGGAAAACUCUGUUGGUAGAGAAGAACGGUGGUGAGAGUGGAAAGCGCAUCAAGUGACGGUAACUACUCAGAAAGGGACGGCUAACUACGUG